rnacentral:rRNA from 1 species
UACGUAGGGUGCGAGCGUUGUCCGGAAUUAUUGGGCGUAAAGAGCUUGUAGGCGGUCUGUCGCGUCUGCUGUGAAAAUCCGGGGCUCAACCCCGGACUUGCAGUGGGUACGGGCAGACUAGAGUGCGGUAGGGGAGACUGGAAUUCCUGGUGUAGCGGUGAAAUGCGCAGAUAUCAGGAGGAACACCCGUGGCGAAGGCGGUUCUCUGGGACGGUACUGACGCUGAGACGCGAAAGCGUGGGGAGCAAACAGG